rnacentral:tRNA from 1 species
AUUUAUAUAAUAUAAUUAUUAUAUCUAACUUCCAAUUAGAAAAUCUAUUCAUAGUAUAAAUA